rnacentral:lncRNA from 1 species
UGGUAUGGGUGAAGAAAAGGGUAUACUAGCCAGCCGAGGUUUACAAGGUGCUUUUUGUCUCGCCAGCUUAUCUCAGAGUGGCCUUGGUUCCAGUGACAGAGGGUAUAAACAAGGAUGUCAAAUCUUCAACAUCACCAGAACUGCUUGGUCACUAGCUUCCCACACUCCAGAGGACCCUGGCCAAUCAACAACAACAACAAUGACAACAGCAAACAGAGCAAUAAUAAUACAAAUGACCAUCACUGUGUCCCUGGUAACACUGCAUUGAAUCCUGGGAGCAUCACCCCAGCUUGGCAUUAUUCCCAUCUCGAGGAUGAGGAAGCUGAGGCCUGAAUCGGGAAAGGGACUUAUCCAGGGUCCGAUAUGGCCAGGAAAUUUAGACCUCUGGCUGCAACCCAGACAUCCUGGUUGCAUGCCAAAAAUUCAAACCGAACCAACCUCCUGCAGACAAUGGUCCAUCUGUCCUCAGAAACCUCAUCUGGCCAUCCACACAGGUCCUCUUCCUGUUACCUCAAAGCCAGGUCUGAACAGAUCUAUAGAGGAGUCGCCACCUCCGCCUCCACUCAGCCCCUCAGCCACUCAACACUCAUUCAUGGAGCGCUCACCAUGUUCCAGCCCCCAUGGCCAAACCAGUGACAAACGAAUGGAUCAUCAAAUCACUCAGAUGUGAACAGGAACAAACUCCUGACACACAAAGCAGUGUGGAUGCCUUUCUAAAGCAACACACUACAUAAAAGCCAAACACCACCACUGCCCACUGGAAUCAUCAUAUGACAUCCUAGAAGAGGUGACCUACAGGGACAGAAAACAGAUCGGGGCUUCCAAGGCUGGAGUCCCAAGAGAAAAAGUCAGGGGGGAGCUGAGAUGCCUUUUAGAUAUCUUGGAAGUCAUCCAGCAUCACUUCUGCCACAUCUAGUCACCAGGAACCAGUCACUAAAGCCAACCCUUUAGAAUUAGAGGCCAUCUUCUGAUGAGAGGAGUGUCCAACAAUGUGAAAACCUCUUCUAAGCAUUGUGGAUCUAGCCUAAAUGUCAAGCAAUGCCAUAUUCGCUAGGCAUGAUGGCUGCGGGCACCGACCUCCAUGGGGUCUCUAACAGGGCAGUAGACGUUGGGUGGCCUCGAGGCAGUAGCUUUGUAGUGCAAUAACAGUAUUAUAACAAUUCUUUUUUUUUUUUUUUUUUUUUUUUGGUCUUUUUUCAUUUUUAUCGGUACCGGG